GGAGAGAUGGCAGAGUGGUUGAUCGCGCCCGCUUGGAAAGCGUGUAUAGUCGAAAGGCUAUCGGGGGUUCGAAUCCCCCUCUCUCCGCCA
rnacentral:tRNA from 1 species